UAGCUGUUUUGGAGAUGUUGGUA
rnacentral:misc_RNA from 1 species